rnacentral:tRNA from 1 species
GAGGGAAUAGCCCAGUGACAGAGUGUGUGCUUAGAAUGCACAAGGUCCUGGGUUCAGUCCCCAAUACCUCCA